CCAGUAAGCAGCAUCCCUCCACAGUCUCUGCAUCAGCUCCUGCCUCCAGGUUCCUACCCUGUUGGUGUUACUGUCCUGACUUCCUUCAGUGAUGAACUGUAUAUGAAACUGUGCAUCUUAACUAAUCAACGCCCAAUCUAAUAUCCAGACACAGUAGAGACCUAGAACGCAUUCAUCUCUGGAUGAAUUCACCUGUCACGAUCAUAAAUUCUUUCACGAGCACCGGAGAUGAGACCUGAGGAAUCUACCCAGAAGCAGACAGCAGAGUCCUGGGCAGAGUUAUUCUUUGUUGUUAGCUGAUUGAAGAACAAAGCUUUGAAGGAUGAGAGGUUCCCGGGACCAGGCUUCCUCAGCAAGCGCAUUUCCUGAUGAGCCAUGUCAGCCGGUGUUUCUGUCUUGCCAGCUCCGAUGACUAACUCCAGAGUUUGCCUCUCGGAAAUCCUACAAACGAUGGGAUCUGCUCUCUGUGGCAUCCUUGAGCAGUGCCCAGAAUUUCCAGGGAGCGUCCAGUAUUGUCAGCUUACCGGCAGCCUUGUUUAUGUGGGAAGAUUCCCACAGCAGGAACAACGAGACCCGAGCUGUGUUUCUCAAGCCCGUCAUGCUAUUGAUUUCCAUCAAACUUGAAAGGUAUUACCUGUGAGUUGCCAGCAGAGGUAGAACGUGAUGUUCAAGGACAACUCUUGAUUUUCCGUGAUUUGGGGUAUCUACUUGGAAAUCAGCCCUGUUGACCUGAAGAAUAGCCAGUCACCAUUUACCUACAUGGAUCUAGAGGCUGUAGCUAAGUUUGGCA
ensembl:lincRNA Gm29183 predicted gene 29183